GCAAUGUUGGUAUAGAUCUCAGUAUGCUGGUAUUGAUUGAUGGUAUAGGUCUCUCACUCUGCUGGUAUUGAUGGAUGGUAUAGGUCUCACACUCUGCUGGUAUUGAUGGAUGGUACAGGUCUCACACUUUGCUGGUAUUGCUGGAUGGUACAGGUCUCACACUUUGCUGGUAUUGCUGGAUGGUACAGGUCUCACACUCUGAUUGGCUCACACUGCUGGUAUUGAUGGAUGGUAUAGGUCUCACUCUGCUGGUAUUGAUGGCUGAGUAGGUACGGAAGUCAGAGUUCUGGACUCCUUCCUUGGUCUCCUCUGUUCCUGACGGAUAUCCAAUGAGGUGUGACACAGGUCUCCUUCCUC
rnacentral:lncRNA from 1 species